rnacentral:rRNA from 1 species
GACGAACGCUGGCGGCGUGCUUAACACAUGCAAGUCGAACGGUAAGGCCCUUCGGGGUACACGAGUGGCGAACGGGUGAGUAACACGUGGGUGAUCUGCCCUGCACUUCGGGAUAAGCCUGGGAAACUGGGUCUAAUACCGGAUAGGACCACUGCCUGCAUGGGUGGUGGUGGAAAGCUUUUGCGGUGUGGGAUGGGCCCGCGGCCUAUCAGCUUGUUGGUGGGGUGAUGGCCUACCAAGGCGACGACGGGUAGCCGGCCUGAGAGGGUGACCGGCCACACGGGGACUGAGAUACGGCCCAGACUCCUACGGGAGGCAGCAGUGGGGAAUAUCGCACAAUGGGCGCAAGCCUGAUGCAGCGACGCCGCGUGAGGGAUGACGGCCUUCGGGUUGUAAACCUCUUUCAGCACCGACGAAGCGCAAGUGACGGUAGGUGCAGAAGAAGGACCGGCCAACUACGUGCCAGCCGCCGCCAUAA